rnacentral:rRNA from 1 species
GCCAUGCAUGUCUAAGUAUAAAUAUUAUACAGUGGAAACUGCGAAUGGCUCAUUAAAACAGUUAUAGUUUAUUCGAUAAUUUCUCCUACAUGGAUAACCGUAGUAAUUCUAGAGCUAAUACAUGCUGUCAAACCUGACUUCGCGGAAGGGUUGUAUUUAUUAGAUAUAAACCAAUACCUUCGGGUGUUGUGAUGAUUCAUAAUAACUGAGCGAAUCGCGGUCGUACCGCGAUAGAUCGUUCAAGUUUCUGCCCUAUCAGCUUUCGAUGGUAGUGUAUUGGACUACCAUGGCAGUCACGGGUAACGGGGAAUUAGGGUUCGAUUCCGGAGAGGGAGCCUGAGAAAUGGCUACCACUUCUAAGGAAGGCAGCAGGCGCGUAAAUUACCCAAUCCUGAUUCAGGGAGGUAGUGACAAGAAAUAACAACUCGGGUCCCUCACGGGACUGCGAGAUUGCAAUGAGAACAAUUUAAACCACUUAUCAAGGAACAAUUGGAGGGCAAGUCUGGUGCCAGCAGCCGCGGUAAUUCCAGCUCCAAUAGCGUAUAUUAAAGUUGUUGCAGUUAAAAAGCUCGUAGUUGAAUUUCUGGCCAGUCCUGCACUGCGCAGUUUGCCGGUGUAGGGCUUGGUCAUCCGUAGGGGAAGCCAGUUCGGCCUUCACUGGUCGGCUGGGGGAACCUACAAUUUACUGUGAAAAAAUUAGAGUGUUUCAGGCAGGCAAUCGCUUGGAUACUCCAGCAUGGAAUAAUGGAAUAGGACUUUGGUCUAUUUAUUGGUUUGAGAUCAAAGUAAUGAUUAAUAGGGACAGUUGGG